UACGAGGGGGGCGAGCGUUGUUCGGAAUUAUUGGGCGUAAAGAGCUCGUAGGUGGUUUGUUGCGUCUGCCGUGAAAACCCGAGGCUUAACCUCGUGGCUUGCGGUGGAUACGGGCAGACUUGAGGUAGGUAGGGGAGAAUGGAAUUCCCGGUGUAGCGGUGAAAUGCGCAGAUAUCGGGAGGAACACCGGUGGCGAAGGCGGUUCUCUGGGCCGAUACUGACGCUGAGGAGCGAAAGCGUGGGGAGCGAACAGG
rnacentral:rRNA from 1 species